UACGAAGGGAGCUAGCGUUGUUCGGAAUUACUGGGCGUAAAGCGCAUGCAGGCGGAUCGUUAAGUCGGGGGUGAAAUCCCGAGGCUCAACCUCGGAACUGCCUUCGAUACUGGCGAUCUUGAGUCCGGGAGAGGUGAGUGGAACUGCGAGUGUAGAGGUGAAAUUCGUAGAUAUUCGCAAGAACACCAGUGGCGAAGGCGGCUCACUGGCCCGGUACUGACGCUGAGAUGCGAAAGCGUGGGGAGCAAACAGG
rnacentral:rRNA from 1 species